rnacentral:rRNA from 1 species
GACGAACGCUGGCGGCGUGCUUAACACAUGCAAGUCGAACGGAAAGGCCCUGCUUUUGUGGGGUGCUCGAGUGGCGAACGGGUGAGUAAAACGUGAGUAACCUGCCCUUGACUUUGGGAUAACUUUAGGAAACUGGGGCUAAUACCGGAUAGGAGCUCCUGCUGCAUGGUGGGGGGUGGAAAGUUUCGGCGGUUGGGGAUGGACUCGCGGCUUAUCAGCUUGUUGGUGGGGUAGUGGCUUACCAAGGCUUUGACGGGUAGCCGGCCUGAGAGGGUGACCGGCCACAUUGGGACUGAGAUACGGCCCAGACUCCUACGGGAGGCAGCAGUGGGGAAUAUUGCACAAUGGGCGGAAGCCUGAUGCAGCAACGCCGCGUGCGGGAUGACGGCCUUCGGGUUGUAAACCGCUUUCGCCUGUGACGAAGCGUGAGUGACGGUAAUGGGUAAAGAAGCACCGGCUAACUACGUG